GUAUGUGUGGCCAUAGACAAGAGGUUAUCAGGGAACAUGAGAAUGUAAGUUAUUCCAGAGGACAGUCAGGGUAGAGGCAUGUGCAUGCACAUGUCUGCAGAGGUCAGAGGGUGUCAGUGAGCAUUUGUGUGCUGGUUCCUGAAGAGCCCAGGCAAGAAGUGGGCAUGAGGGUGCAGGUGAUGGGAACAGUCAGGGAAGGACAGUGGGCAUGAGGGUGCAGGUGAUGGGAACAGCCAGGGAAGGGCAGUGGGCAUGAGGGUGCAGGUGAUGGGAACAGCCAGGGAAGGGCAGUGGGCAUGAGGGUGCAGGUGAUGGGAACAGCCAGGGAAGGGCAGUGGGCAUGAGGGUGCAGGUGAUGGGAACAGGCAGGGAAGGGCAGUGGGCCUGAGGGUGCAGGUGAUGGGAACAGUGAGGGAAGGACAGUGGGCAUGAGGGUGCAGGUGAUGGGAACAGCCAGGGAAGGGCAGUGGGCAUGAGUGUGCAGGUGAUGGGAACAGCCAGGGAAGGGCAGUGGGCAUGAGGGUGCAGGUGAUGGGAACAGCCAGGGAAGGGCAGUGGGCAUGAGGGUGCAGGUGAUGGGAACAGUCAGGGAAGGGCAGUGGGCAUGAGGGUGCAUGUAAUGGGAACAGCCAGGGAAGGGCAGUGGGCAAGAGGGUGCAGGUGAUGGGAACAGCCAGGGAAGGGCAGUGGGCAUGAGGGUGCAGGUGAUGGGAACAGUCAGGGAAGGGCAGUGGGCAUGAGAGUGCAGGUGAUGAGAACACCCAAGGAAGGGCAGUGGGCAUGAGGGUGCAGGUGAUGGGAACAGUCAGGGAAGGGCAGGGGCAUGAGGGUUCAGGUGAUGGGAACAGCCAGGGAAGGGCAGUGGGCAUGAGGGUGCAGGUGAUGGGAACAGUCAGGGAAGGGCACUGGGCAUGAGGGUGCAGGUGAUGGGAACAGCCAGGGAAGGGCAGUGGGCAUGAGGGUGCAGGUGAUGGGAACAGCCAGGGAAGGGCAGUGGGCAUGAGGGUGCAGGUGAUAGGAACAGCCAGGGAAGGGCAGUGGGCAUGAGGGUGCAGGUGAUGGGAACAGUCAAGGAAGGGCACUGGACAUGAGGGUGCAGGUGAUGGGAACAGCCAGGGAAGGGCAGUGGGGAUGAGGCUGGAGGUGCUGGGAACAGCCAGGGAAGGGCAGUGGGCAUGAGGGUGCAGGUGAUGGGAACAGUCAGGGAAGGGCACUGAACAUGAGGGUGCAGUUGAUGGGACCAGUCAGGGAAGGGCAGUGGGCAUGAGGGUGCAUGUGAUGGGAACUGCCAGGGAGGGCAGUGGGCAUGAGGGUGCAGGUGAUAGGAACAGUCAGGGAAGGGCAGUGGGCAUGAGGGUGCAGGUGCUGGGAACAGCCAGGGAAGGGCAGUGGGCAUGAGGGUGCAGGUGAUGGGAACAGUCAAGGAAGGGCAGUGGGCAUGAGGGUGCAGGUGAUGGGAACAGUCAGGGAAGGGCAGUGGGCAUGAGGGUGCAGUUGAUGGGACCAGUCAGGGAAGGGCAGUGGGCAUGAGGGUGCAGGUGCUGGGAACAGCCAGGGAAGGGCAGUGGGCAUGAGGGUGCAGGUGAUGGGAACAGCCAGGGAAGGGCAGUGGGCAUGAGGGUGCAGGUGCUGGGAACAGCCAGGGAAGGGCAGUGGGCAUGAGGGUGCAGGUGAUGGGAACAGCCAGGGAAGGGCAGUGGGCAUGAGGGUGCAGGUGAUGGGAACAGCCAGGGAAGGGCAGUGGGCAUGACAAUGCAGGUGAUGGGAACAGCCAGGGAAGGGCAGUGGGCAUGACAAUGCAGGUGAUGGGAACAGCCAGGGAAGGGCAGUGGGCAUGACAAUGCAGGUGAUGGGAACAGCCAGGAAAGGGCAAUGGGCAUGAGGGUGCAGGUGAUGGGAACAGUCAGGGAAGGGCACUGGACAUGAGGGUGCAGUUGAUGGGACCAGUCAGGGAAGGGCAGUGGGCAUGAGGGUGCAUGUGAUGGGAACUGCCAGGGAGGGCAGUGGGCAUGAGGGUGCAGGUGAUGGGAACAGUCAGGGAAGGGCAGUGGGCAUGAGGGUGCAGGUGAUGGGAACAGCCAGGGAAAGGCAGUGGGCAUGAGGGUGCAGUUGAUGGGACCAGUCAGGGAAGGGCAGUGGGCAUGAGGUUGCAGGUUUUGGGAACAGCAAGGGAAGGGCAGUGGACAUGAGGGUGCAGGUGCUGGGAACAGCCAGGGAAGGGCAGUGGGCAUGAGGGUGCAAGUGCUGGGAACAGCCAGGGAAGGGCAGUGGGCAUGAGGGUGCAGGUGAUGGGAACAGCCAGGGAAGGGCAGUGGGCAUGAGGGUGCAGGUGCUGGGAACAGCCAGGGAAAGGCAGUGGGCAUGAGGGUGCAGUUGAUGGGACCAGUCAGGGAAGGGCAGUGGGCAUGAGGGUGCAGGUGAUGGGAACAGCCAGGGAAAGGCAGUGGGCAUGAGGGUGCAGUUGAUGGGACCAGUCAGGGAAGGGCAGUGGGCAUGAGGGUGCAGGUGCUGGGAACAGCCAGGGAAGGGCAGUGGGCAUGAGGGUGCAGGUGCUGAGAACAGCCAGGGAAGGGCAGUGGGCAUGAGGGUGCAGGUGCUGGGAACAGCCAGGGAAGGGCAGUGGGCACGAGGGUGCAGGUGAUGGGAACAGCCAGGGAAGGGCAGUGGGCAUGAGGGUGCAGGUGAUGGGAACAGCCAGGGAAGGGCAGUGGGCAUGACAAUGCAGGUGAUGGGAACAGCCAGGAAAGGGCAAUGGGCAUGAGGGUGCAGGUGAUGGGAACAGUCAGGGAAGGGCACUGGACAUGAGGGUGCAGUUGAUGGGACCAGUCAGGGAAGGGCAGUGGGCAUGAGGGUGCAGGUGAUGGGAACAGUCAAGGAAGGGCAGUGGGCAUGAGGGUGCAGGUGAUGAGAACAUCCAAGGAAGGGCAGUGGGCAUGAGGGUACAGGUGAUGGGAACAGUCAGGGAAGGGCAGUGGGCAUGAGGGUGCAGGUGAUGGGAACAGUCAGGGAAGGGCACUGGGCAUGAGGGUGCAGGUGAUGGGAACAGCCAGGGAAGGGCAGUGGGCAUGAGGGUGCAGGUGAUGGGAACAGCCAGGGAAGGGCAGUGGGCAUGAGGGUGCAGGUGAUAGGAACAGCCAGGGAAGGGCAGUGGGCAUGAGGGUGCAGGUGAUGGGAACAGUCAAGGAAGGGCACUGGACAUGAGGGUGCAGGUGAUGGGAACAGCCAGGGAAGGGCAGUGGGGAUGAGGCUGGAGGUGCUGGGAACAGCCAGGGAAGGGCAGUGGGCAUGAGGGUGCAGGUGAUGGGAACAGUCAGGGAAGGGCACUGAACAUGAGGGUGCAGUUGAUGGGACCAGUCAGGGAAGGGCAGUGGGCAUGAGGGUGCAUGUGAUGGGAACUGCCAGGGAGGGCAGUGGGCAUGAGGGUGCAGGUGAUAGGAACAGUCAGGGAAGGGCAGUGGGCAUGAGGGUGCAGGUGCUGGGAACAGCCAGGGAAGGGCAGUGGGCAUGAGGGUGCAGGUGAUGGGAACAGUCAAGGAAGGGCAGUGGGCAUGAGGGUGCAGGUGAUGGGAACAGUCAGGGAAGGGCAGUGGGCAUGAGGGUGCAGUUGAUGGGACCAGUCAGGGAAGGGCAGUGGGCAUGAGGGUGCAGGUGCUGGGAACAGCCAGGGAAGGGCAGUGGGCAUGAGGGUGCAGGUGAUGGGAACAGCCAGGGAAGGGCAGUGGGCAUGAGGGUGCAGGUGCUGGGAACAGCCAGGGAAGGGCAGUGGGCAUGAGGGUGCAGGUGAUGGGAACAGCCAGGGAAGGGCAGUGGGCAUGAGGGUGCAGGUGAUGGGAACAGCCAGGGAAGGGCAGUGGGCAUGACAAUGCAGGUGAUGGGAACAGCCAGGGAAGGGCAGUGGGCAUGACAAUGCAGGUGAUGGGAACAGCCAGGGAAGGGCAGUGGGCAUGACAAUGCAGGUGAUGGGAACAGCCAGGAAAGGGCAAUGGGCAUGAGGGUGCAGGUGAUGGGAACAGUCAGGGAAGGGCACUGGACAUGAGGGUGCAGUUGAUGGGACCAGUCAGGGAAGGGCAGUGGGCAUGAGGGUGCAUGUGAUGGGAACUGCCAGGGAGGGCAGUGGGCAUGAGGGUGCAGGUGAUGGGAACAGUCAGGGAAGGGCAGUGGGCAUGAGGGUGCAGGUGAUGGGAACAGCCAGGGAAAGGCAGUGGGCAUGAGGGUGCAGUUGAUGGGACCAGUCAGGGAAGGGCAGUGGGCAUGAGGGUGCAGGUGCUGGGAACAGCCAGGGAAGGGCAGUGGGCAUGAGGGUGCAGGUGAUGGGAACAGUCAGGAAAGGGUAGUGGGCAUGAGGGUGCAGGAUAUGGGAACAGCCAGGGAAGGGCAGUGGGUAUGAGGGUGCAGGUGAUGGGAACACUCAGGGAAGGGCAGUGGGCAUGAGGGUGCAGUUGAUGAGACCAGUCAGGGAAGGGCAGUGGGCAUGAGGGUGCAGGUGCUGGGAACAGCCAGGGAAGGGCAGUGGGCAUGAGGUUGCAGGUGAUGGGAACAGUCAGGGAAGGGCAGGGGCAUGAGGGUUCAGGUGAUGGGAACAGCCAGGGAAGGGCAGUGGGCAUGAGGGUGCAGGUGAUGGGAACAGCCAGGGAAGGGCAGUGGGCAUGAGGGUGCAGGUGAUGGGACCAGUCAGGGAAGGGCAGUGGGCAUGAGGGUGCAUGUGAUGGGAACUGCCAGGGAGGGCAGUGGGCAUGAGGGUGCAGGUGAUAGGAACAGCCAGGGAAGGGCAGUGGGCAUGAAGGUGCAGGUGAUGGGAACAGUCAGGGAAGGGCAGUGGGCAUGAGGGUGCAGGUGAUGGGAACAGUCAGGGAAGGGCAGGGGCAUGAGGGUGCAGGUGAUGGGAACAGCCAGGGAAGGGCAGUGGGCAUGAGGGUGCAGGUGAUGGGAACAGUCAGGGAAGGGCACUGGACAUGAGGGUGCAGUUGAUGGGACCAGUCAGGGAAGGGCAGUGGGCAUGAGGGUGCGUGUGAUGGGAACUGCCAGGGAGGGCAGUGGGCAUGAGGGUGCAGGUGAUAGGAACAGUCAGGGAAGGGCAGUGGGCAUGAGGGUGCAGGUGCUGGGAACAGCCAGGGAAGGGCAGUGGGCAUGAGGGUGCAGGUGAUGGGAACAGUCAAGGAAGGGCAGUGGGCAUGAGGGUGCAGGUGAUGGGAACAGUCAGGGAAGGGCAGUGGGCAUGAGGGUGCAGUUGAUGGGACCAGUCAGGGAAGGGCAGUGGGCAUGAGGGUGCAGGUGCUGGGAACAGCCAGGGAAGGGCAGUGGGCAUGAGGGUGCAGGUGAUGGGAACAGCCAGGGAAGGGCAGUGGGCAUGAGGGUGCAGGUGCUGGGAACAGCCAGGGAAGGGCAGUGGGCAUGAGGGUGCAGGUGAUGGGAACAGCCAGGGAAGGGCAGUGGGCAUGAGGGUGCAGGUGAUGGGAACAGCCAGGGAAGGGCAGUGGGCAUGACAAUGCAGGUGAUGGGAACAGCCAGGGAAGGGCAGUGGGCAUGACAAUGCAGGUGAUGGGAACAGCCAGGAAAGGGCAAUGGGCAUGAGGGUGCAGGUGAUGGGAACAGUCAGGGAAGGGCACUGGACAUGAGGGUGCAGUUGAUGGGACCAGUCAGGGAAGGGCAGUGGGCAUGAGGUUGCAUGUGAUGGGAACUGCCAGGGAGGGCAGUGGGCAUGAGGGUGCAGGUGAUGGGAACAGUCAGGGAAGGGCAGUGGGCAUGAGGUUGCAGGUGAUGGGAACAGCCAAGGAAGGGCAGUGGGCAUGAGGGUGCAGGUGAUGGGAACAGUCAGGGAAGGGCAUUGGGCAUGAGGUUGCAGGUGAUGGGAACAGCCAGGGAAGGGCAGUGGGGAUGAGGCUGGAGGUGCUGGGAACAGCCAGGGAAGGGCAGUGGGCAUGAGGGUGCAGGUGAUGGGAACAGCCAGGGAAGGGCAGUGGGGAUGAGGGUGCAGGUGAUGGGAACAGCCAGGGAAGGGCAGUGGGCAUGAGGGUGCAGGUGAUGGGAACAGUCAGGGAAGGGCAGUGGGCAUGAGGGUUCAGGUGCUGGGAACAGCCAGGGAAGGGCAGUGGGCAUGAGGUUGCAGGUGAUGGGAACAGUCAGGGAAGGGCAGGGGCAUGAGGGUUCAGGUGAUGGGAACAGCCAGGGAAGGGCAGUGGGCAUGAGGGUGCAGGUGAUGGGAACAGCCAGGGAAGGGCAGUGGGCAUGAGGGUGCAGGUGAUGGGACCAGUCAGGGAAGGGCAGUGGGCAUGAGGGUGCAUGUGAUGGGAACUGCCAGGGAGGGCAGUGGGCAUGAGGGUGCAGGUGAUAGGAACAGCCAGGGAAGGGCAGUGGGCAUGAAGGUGCAGGUGAUGGGAACAGUCAGGGAAGGGCAGUGGGCAUGAGGGUGCAGGUGAUGGGAACAGUCAGGGAAGGGCAGGGGCAUGAGGGUGCAGGUGAUGGGAACAGCCAGGGAAGG